CUCACCACCUGGACCACCAGGGCUUGCCUUGCACUGUCCACCUCCCAGGCAAAGGUAAGCAGGGAGGGGGGGGGGGAUAUCAAAAUUACAAUUUUUAUGAUUUAAAAAAUCUUUAAAAACAAAAUCUGCCUCCAUAAACACACAUUGUCCCCACACACAUACACACACACACUGCCCCACCAUACACACGCACUGCCCCCUCACACACUCUGCCCCCCCCACACACUGUACCCGUCAAUACACUCACACACACACACACUUCCCCAUCACACACACUAUACCCCUCAUGCACACACUGUAUCCCUCACACACACAUUGUAUCCCUCUCACAGAUGCACACACUGCACCCUUGAAACACACUGAUACAAUGCACCCCUCACACACACACACACACACUACAUCCUUCACAAACACAAUGCACACACACUGCACCCCCCCUACACUCACACACACACUUAACCCCAUACACAUUGCACCUCUCUCUCUCAUACACACACACACAUACAUUGCGCCUUCCCCCCCCCCACACACACACCAAUGCCCUAUCACCUACUAUAGCCCCUAUCCUGGCAGACCACAGGUAAGUUGUUGAACUGUUCUCAAACAGUUUAACUACUCCUGGCACCAUAAUCACUACAGUGUGCUGUAGUGGUUAUUGUGCUUGGAUUGUUACAGGGGCCUAGCAUAUGCCACAGAGCUGUACAUGUAUGCAACCUAGAAAUUAUUUUGACUUGGGGUGCCUUGGAAAAAUAUUGCAAUAUAACCUAAAAAGUUUGGAAACCACUGGUCUAAGGCAAAGGAAAGGGUUCUUUACAGUAAGAACAAUAAAGAUGGGAAACUCUAUGCCUGAAGAAUUGGUUUCAUCUUAGGAGCAUAGAUGUUUCCAUGGCAAUCGUUUGCAUACUUGCAAAGACAUAAAAUACAGGGAUAUCAUUUUUAUUAUGUGGAGUAAUAGCUUGUUGUUCCAAGGAGAGAUCUAACUGCUAUUUUGGGAUCAAGAAGCAAUUCACUCAUAGUUUGUUGCAAAAUAGGAAGAGCUUUAAGAAGUUUUUUGCCUUCUUUUGGAUCAACUGCAAAAACAGAUGUGAAAAAGGUAGAACUUGAUGGACUUGAUGUCUCUUUUCCCCUGUGGAACUAUGCAACUAUGUAAUAUUCAAUAUCCACUGGACCAUCUCUUUGGGGAGAUCCCGACUUACACAUUUACUAAGUCUCACUUACCUACUGUUGAAAUAUAUCUGACCAGCUCUGAUAUCACCACUAGUAUCAGAACAAUACACACAGUUAUGAAUUAAAUUAGCUCAGUCACAAUUAAAAUGUAUUCCUUCAGUAAAAGUCUGUGAAUACGAUUCUAAAUUUUUACAUUAGCUCUUGUGAUGUCAAUACAGCAAAAAAACUUACAUCUUUUAGCCUAACUUUUUUGAAAGUGAACGCAUAGCCAGGUAGCAUAGUUCUCCAUAAACCACAUAUAGGAAGGACAGUGACGUUCCUUCAGGUAAGAGAAGUUUAAGCCACAGCAGCAGAAAAGAUUUAGUGUAAGAUGAAAAAAAAAACUGAACAAGAGCAGUUACAUUUGAAGAUUGAUUACAUAUAUUAAUCAAAAAGCAUGAUGCAGUUUGAGCAAAGCAGGGGAUAUUGGAAGAUAUAGCGCUGAUGUGAGGUAAUCCCACUGGAUAAUGAGUAUUGUCAAUAUUUCACUGAAUGUCCAAAUUAUAAUGUAUUGAUUCAACACUGUGAUGCUUAGCUUAUUAAAUUGAAUGUUCUGUUAUGUUGUUAUAAAUGUUCUUAUGAGGAAAUGAAAAUAUAAACAAAUAUAAACGUACCAUCAGAUGAACUUUUAAAAAAAAGUAGCAAAAUAUAGCUGAUAACAUUGUAACUAGUGGGGAAGUGAGACUAGUCCCCUGGAAUCCAGACCUGGAUCUGGAAUUAAAGGGACUCUCCAGUGCCAGGAAAACAAUCCGUUUUCCUGGCACUGCAGGUCCCCUCUCCCUCCCACCUCCAAUCCCUGGUUGCUGAAGGAGUGAAAACCCCUUCAGUGACUUACCAGAGGCAGCAACGAUGUCCCUCAUCGCUGCUUCUUCCUCUGCCCACGCUCCUCCUCUUCAUCACGUCAGCCGGCGGAGGAGACUGAUCACGCCCGCCCGUGGGGGAAACCUAAUGCGCAUGCACGGCAAUGCUGCGCAUGUGCAUUAGACCUCCCCAUAGGAAAGCAUUGAAAAUUUUAGUGACGCUGGAUGGAUCUGUGCCAUAAUCCCGGAAGUGCCCUCUAGUGGCUGUCUAGUAGACAGCCACUAGAGGAGGAGUUAAUAAAAACUGCAAUAAUUACACCUGCAGGGUUAAGGGUAGUGGUGUCAGGAUUACUGUUUGAUCCAGCACGUAGAACUGUACAGCACGGAUGACAAAUAAGUAACGUAUUACCGGUCCUUAGAAUGGCCGGAUUUAACGUACAAAGAAUAGUCAAAAAUACUAGCCGAGGUCAGGGAACACAGAAAGGGACACAGCGAUGAGGAAAGCUAGGAGUCAGGAUACCAGAAUAUAGAGAAGUCAAUAAACAAAGCCAAAGUCAAAAACCAGGUAGAAAACUAUAAACAGGAACGCGCUCUCAGACAACCACAAGGGAAACCACGACAGGGCACUGAGCAGGCUGAGAACUGGGCCUAAAUACCCCUCCUUUAGUUCUGAUAGGCUGUAACCGGCCUUUGACCCCCAAAGUCAGUUACCAGGUUUCAUUUGCAUAAUUGCUGCUCAGCAUUAACCCUUCUGUGGAUUAGGUUGCUGCUCGGCACAACUUUUCCUGUGUGGACAGUAAAUGUCAUUAACCACUUUUCUAUAAGCGGAUGAAUACGUGACAAGUGGGAGUUAGCACCCAGACCAUUUCAAUGGGCAGCAGUGGUCUGGGUGCCUGGAGUGUCCCUUUAAUGAGUCUCUAGACCCUAAUUGGGUUUCCUCUGCAAUUUGCCGAUCGGGUGGCCCACGUAUCACUAAACAGGUCAGGACCAUUUAAGACCGCGACUGUGCCUCUGUAGCAUGGGAUGCUGGUUGGAACUGACAGCGUGUCAUUUCCUCCCAGAGAGAGAGAGCGCCGAGUGGGAUGGGGAGAGUGAGCAGCAGUGAGGAUUGAGCAACACACCAGCCUCAGUGAGCAGCCUGCAGCACUCCAAGCAAGUCACCUUCCUGCAUAAAAAAGGUCAGCUAACAAAUGGGUGACUGCAAAUACCUGUGUAUGUCUGUGUAUGUAUCUGUGUGUGUAUUAUGUUUCACUGUGUGUAUCUGAGUAUGUAUGUAUUUGUGUCACUGUAUGGAUCUGUAUGUCAGUGUAUUUGUGUAACAAUGUGCCUGUGUGUGUAUCUGUGUGUCAGUGUAUCUGUCGGUGUUUGUAUGUGCCAGUGUGUGUAUCUGUGUGCCAGUGUAUGUAUGUAUCUUUGUGCCAGUGUGUGUAUAUGUCAGUCAAUGUAUCUGUCAGUGUGUGAAUCUGAGUGCGUGUAUCUGUGUGUCAGUGUGUGUGUGCCAGCGUGUGUUUCUGUGUGUCAGUGUGUAUAUGACUGUGUGUGUGUGGAUAAGUGUCCUUCUGUGUUUUUCUGUUAAUAUGCAUGUAUAAAUGUGUAAGUGUGUAUGUGCAGACAUCACAGCAAUUAAAUACCAACACAGCAUACAAAGACACCCCUGCAAACACAAACAUGACAUACAAAGACACUCCUGAACUCCAACUCUAAAAUUAUAUACAAACACUCAAAUACACCCUUCACUCAAACACCAAUACUACACACAAAUGUACAUCUCCAUUUCAAAUCCAACACUACAUCCAAAGACACCAUUGCACGUAACUGCAAGCAUAACAUCCCAAAACACACCCCUGUAUUAAGAUGCUAAAAUAAUAUCCAAAUACCAACUCUACACACAGAAGCACACCUGCUACUAAAUACUACAAUCUGUUAUAAUUAAAACUGUAGAAAUUUGCCAAAAAAGAAACCCUAUACGUUCUGUUUCUUAAAAGGUUUGUGGUACGGUACGGUUCCACAGGCAAAAUAUAUUGGAAACCCCCUGCUCUAGGCAUAGCUGAAAAAUGUGUCCCCACAUUCCUUCAUCACCCCCAUCCCUAUAGUCCCAACCAAGCACAUUCCUCCAGCCCAAGAGUCCUCAUCAACAUAACCCCUACAUCCCAGGCUAAUAUCCAGCUCACCAGCUUAACUCCAACUCUACGUCACCCUACCCUCAUAACUUCCCCAUAAUUCCCAACCCCAGUCACAUUGUCCCGCCCGUAUAUCACUCACAGCCCUAUUCAUGUUAUUGCUGUACCCAUAAACCACCAGUUCAGCCCUAUAAUCACAUCACACCAAUCCCCAUAGUCUCCUCAUCGUCCACAGGCGUAAACAUAUUUUCCGAUUGCCAUAAUGCCAUCACCCCCAUAAUUUCUGAAUCAGGCUUUCCCUACAUUUCCUGUAGUGGCCAUAGCUAUAUCAUUUGUAUGGGCAUUUAGCUUUCAUUAUAUUUAAUAGUAAAUUAUGUUACCAGCAAUAACACUGAUGCUUCUUUUGUUAAGUGAAGCUGCCAACUUUAUUCAGGACUUUCAUUUACCACCUAUUAGGGGAAAUCUACGUAUACCCUGCUGCUCUGUGUUGUUAUGCUACUGUUUUUCUCUCUUAUUUGGUUAUGAAAAACAAAACAGGCCUUGACAUACAUGCAGACAUUCCUCCCCAGAGGCCUUUUUUUGUUGUUAUUGCAUAAUUUAUGAUGACAGCCUCGAUUAUUUUCUCCUGCAACUUGUACUUCUUGACAUGCCUGUAGAAUCCAUUAAUAGAAAAUGUAACAGGGAAGUUUCCAUAUUCACCAACAUUUUUAAACAUAAGCAUUGCUUCUUUAGAGGUAGGAUUCCUUCAGCUUGGAUAUUUCAGUAUUACAUAGAAUACGACUGAUCUUAAGCAGCCAGGAUUGUGAAUUGACAGGUCGUCACCAAAAAAUUGCAAAGUUUAGGCCAAAAUUCCUGAAUUGGAAAGAUUAUCCAAGACAACUAUAUCUGUCUCAGCUGUUUUAGUAUUUAAUGCAAUUCCCUUGUGAAUUUCGCACACAUUUUGUUUAGUAAGUAAACCUGAGUGUGUAUUUUCAGCACAAUCUUUACAUUGUUUUAACAUAUCUACCAAGUGUUGUUAUUUAGGAGGCGCAGUUCCUCUGUCCUUCAUUUCUGAACUAAUGUAGAGGAACUGCAUUGAUACCAGGGUCCAUGGCAACGAGUCUUUUUCUUUAAAAAUCAGUCUGUGUAAAUAAUAUACAUUGUUCAUGCUCCAAAUUACAUUUUAUUUGCAUAAAUUAUUAUUAGUAAGUUGCCUAAAAAUUUUCAGCCCCACCUAACAGCUACAUACAACCCUAGAUUAAAAUGUUGCUCUUUAUGCAUUUGAAUGUAGGGAGUUAUGUUUUAAGUAUAGCAGUAGACUGUGUGAUAAAAAAUCAACCCCAGUCAAAGGUAGAGCGCUAAGGAGGUGCUUGUAAAUGAUUCACCUCCCCCUUCUCCUUUUUAAAUUUACUGGAACCUGGAGAUAGGGAUAUAAGAUAGGGCUACAAUAGUGAAGUACUGUUAGGUAGUGAUAAAAUAAAUGUGGAGGUGUAUAGAACCACUCACUUGGUACUGAGCCUAAACAGGACAGGCUCAGACCACUUGAUCAGAUGUGUUUUUAACAGGCAACACAAACCAAUAUGUUUUUAACAGGCAACACAAACCAAACAGUAGAUGGAAACACUUCUGGACCCUUUAGGAAUAAGAGAAGCCAAACAUAGUGUAAUAUGCAGGUGAAUGGUGGUUGAGGUGAUAAAACAUGCAGAACUGCUCACCUGAUUCAGAGCCUGUGACUCUGGCUCUGAGUAUAAUAGUGUUGGUACCACUGGGGGGGUACCAGACCCUAUGGAUAAGAUCAGGAACACAACUUACGUCCAGGUACAGGGUAUAAAAAUAAAAUUUAUUGUAUACAAUAAAACAAAAGUAUAAAUAAGAAAAUUAAAAUCCUCCUGGACGUCCGAGACGCGUUUCGCCGGUAAGCUUCAUCAAUCGGUGUCACUGAUUGACACCUCCACAUCGGUGUCACCGAUUGAUGAAGCUUACCGGCGAAACGCGUCUCGGACGUCUAGGAGGAUUUUAAUUUUCUUAUUUAUACUUUUGUUUUAUUGUAUACAAUAAAUUUUAUUUUUAUACCCUGUACCUGGACGUAAGUUGUGUUCCUGAUCUUAUCCAUAGGGUCUGGUACCCCCCCCCAGUGGUACCAACACUAUUAUAAUCAGAGCCAGAGUCACAGGCUCUGAAUCAGGUGAGCAGUUCUGCAUAUUUUAUCACCUCAACCACCAUUCACCUGCAUAUUACACUAUGUUUGGCUUCUCUUAUUCCUAAAGGUUCCAGAAGUGUUUCCAUCUACCGUUUGGUUUGUGUUGCCUGUUAAAAACACAUCUGAUCAAGUGAUCUGAGCCUGUCCUGUUUAGGCUCAGUACCAAGUGAGUGGUUCUAUACACCUCCACAUUUAUGUUAUCACUACCUAACAGUACUUCACUAUUGUAGCCCUAUCUUAUAUCAGUAUCUCCAGGUUCCAAUAAAUUUAAAAAGGAGAAGGGGGAGGUGAGUCAUUUACAAGCACCUCCUUAGCGCUCCACCUUUGACUGGGGUUGAUUUUUUAUCACACAGUCUACUGCUAUAUUUUGUAUUUUUGUGUCAAUUAGUGAGCGAAUUGCACUUGGUGGUAGCAGCUCACAUACUAUUUAUAUACAUAUAUUCUUUUAAGCGCCAGAAAACACAAUAUCACCUCUAUUCCAGUUAUGUUUUAAGAAUGCCCCAUGCCAAUUGGGUAAAGUUUCAUAACCAGGCCCGGACUGGUAAAAAAAACUAGCUUGGGCAGUUAAAGGCUGAAAGGGGAAGAGCCGGAAAGGGGGCGUGCUAUGUCAUCAGCAAUGAUAAGCACACCCCCACUACCACUAAAACAAGUGUUAUUGUGAUGUCUCUCAGCAAGAUUUAUUUUGUGCAACAUCAGCAUGCGCUACAUUUGCUAGUGACUUGUCUUUGGUGUCCUGCAGGCCCGGACUGGCCAUCGAGCACACCGGGCAAAUGCCCGGUGGGCCGCGGUGGCCAUGGGCCGAGGCCGGCAGGGGAGAUCACAGGAUCUCCCCUGCCGGUCUAUGCAGGGCCGGCACUCUCCUAGCGCCGGCCCCGCUGUUUGUCACGACGGGCCGGUGGGGGGAUCAAGGAUCUCCCUGACCGGCCCACAUGCGGCCGCCGGCGGGGAGGGAGGGAGGGAGCCAGCCAGCUAGGCUGGAGAGAGGACCCGGCGGAGCUCUAACUUGCAGCUCCGCCGGGUUCCUCUCGCGAGAUCCGGCGCGUUGCCAUGGCAACGACCGGAUCUCGCGAGAGUGAACUCUAGCCUCACAGGCUAGAGUUCACUCACCCACGAGGACCACCAGGGAACACUGCCACCCCGCCUUCCAGCGUGCCGGACCCCCCCUCCCAGGCUAAAGGUAAGAAGGGAGGGGGGAAAUAAUGACUUUUUUUUUUUAUUUACCCCCCCUACACACACACACAAUAACAUUUAUACAGCACUCUCACACCCAUCACACACAGCACUCUCUCCCACAGCACUCUCACACCCAUCACACACAGCACUCUCUCCCACAGCACUCUCACACCCAUCACACACAGCACUCUCUCCCACAGCACUCUCACACCCAUCACACACAGCACUCUCUCCCACAGCACUCUCACACCCAUCACACACAGCACUCUCUCACACAGCACUCUCACCCAUCACACACAGCACUCUCUCACACAUUACACACAGCACUCUCACACCCAGCACUCUCUUACCCAUCACACACAGCACUCUCACACCCAGCACUCUCACACCAUCACACACAGCGCACUCUCACAGAGCACUCACACACACACAGCACUCUCACACCCAUCACACACAGCACUUUCACACACACACAGCACUCUCUCACAGCACUCUCACAGAGCACUCUCUCACACCCAUCACUCACACACGGCACUCUCACACCCAUCACUCACACACGGCACUCUCACACCCAUCAUUCACACACAGCACUCUCACAUCCAUCACUCACACACGGCACUCUCACACACAUCACACACACACGGCACCCUCACACACACACAUACACCGCACCCUCACACACACACAUACACCGCACCCUCACACACACACAUACACCGCACCCUCACACACACACAUACUGCACCCCUCACAUACACACAGAAUCCCCCCAACACACUGCACCACACACAUACACAAUACUUCCAAAUAUAUAUAUAUAUAUAUAUAUAUAUAUACACACACAUAUACAUACACACACACACUACACUCUUAAAGGACCACUCUAGCCACCCAGACCACUUCAGCUUAAUGAAGUGGUCUUGGUGCCAGGUCCUUCUAGGGUUAACCCAUUGUUUUAUAAACAUAGCAGUUUCAGAGAAACUGCUAUGUUUAUCAAUGGGUUAAGCCUUCCCCCAAAGCCUCUAGCAGCUGUCUCAUUGACAGCCGCUAGAGGCGCUUGCGUGCUUUUCACUGUGAAAAUCACAGUGAGAGCACGCAAGCGUCCAUAGGAAAGCAUUAUAAAUGCUUUCCUAUGCGACCGGCUGAAUGCGCGCGCAGCUCUUGCCGCGUGUGCGCAUUCAGCCGACGGGGCGGAUCGGAGGAGGAGAGCUCCCCGCCCGGCGCUGGAAAAGGUAAGUUUUAACCCCUUUCCAGAGCCGUGUGGGAGGGGGUUCCUGAGCCACAUAUGCAUCACAUUACACCACAAACACAACACGACUAAAACCGACCUUAUUACACAAUACCACACCACGACCAGCUCACUCUACACACACGCAAUACCACAAGCAGGCUCCAAACACAUGCACAAUACUCUUUCCUGGCCUUUUGUCUCCUGGUAUCCAUUUAUAGAGACACCAGAGACAAGUUGCAAGGAAACAUAGUGCAAGCAUGCUAUUAAAUUUGCAGAACAAAUACAGGACUUUUUUCUCAUGUUAGAGCUCUUCAGCAGAGCUCUGCGCAUGGUCUGCCCUGGAAGAGCAUUGAACCAACAUGCUCACUUUGAGAGGAGGCGUGUUUGUCAUUGGUGAUGACAAAACACACCUCCUCUGCCCCGCCCCCUUUUUAGUGGGCCGCUGCGUUAAAAAAAUGCCCGGGCCGAAUUUUUCUCCCAGUCCGGCCCUGGUGUCCUGAAUAGUGGGAUACUAGAGAACAAAAGUGUAACAGGGCUGUUAAAGUGUCUUGAGCGUAUGUAUGGAUACUCCCAGUGGUGUAUGUGGUUGAAGCUUGUGUGUAGAGGAGACUAUUUAUGUUAUUUAGUGUGUGUAAAGGGGUCUGUUUGUGACAUAGUAUGUGUGUGUUUCUUGGCUGUUAAGCAUGUUUGUGUGUAUUUAUAGGGUCUGUUAGAGAGUGUGUACUGUGUGUGUAUGGAAGUGCAGGGGGUGUAGUGUUUUGUUAAAUGCUGAAAGACCUGAAAAGCAGAAAUUGCCUGUAUUUUACAAAGCUUAGAGGAAAGCCAGAGGCGACAAAACCCUAAAGGGCUCAAAGGCUAGAUUUAGUUUUAACAGAGUAACAAAUACAGUCAUUUGAGACAACUUGUAUUCUUGUCCCACAGGACAGAAACAAAGUAUUCACUUUACCAAAUGAUCUGUCCUUACACACAGCUCUUAUCCCUUCAUUGUACAUCUGUGUCCAUAGCACUGCUGGUUUUUGACAGCUCCAUUCACAGUUUUUUUUUAUUAACAUCAGUCAAUGAAUGGGCAGUAAUGUAUUUGAGGUGAUUUUUGUGUUUAACAGCACUUUUAUUGAAAAAAAAGAAAGAUACAGAAAAGCGAUUAGAGGGAUCACACAUACAGUAACACAAUUGCAUGAAUGGCCAUCAGAGUUCAAACAUUUGAAGACAAGCUAAAGGAAUAAAUUCAGCAAAUACUGAGCCGCAUCCUAAAGUAACAUUUUAAAAUAAAGAGGUAAAUUAAAAUUGAAUGGCAAUAGUAAUAUAUGAAAAAAAACAUGCAUUAGCUGGUAUCACUGGUGUACAUACUGCGGUCGCAGGGUUCGCAGCUGCGACUGGGCCCGUCACUCCAGGGGGCCCGGCCGCCAUGUGGACCCCUGCGACUAGGUACCUGCUAUCACCAUUUGCAGCCCCGGCCCACGCGGCAAAGCGCCGGGGCCGCAUGUUAAGGGCUCCAUCGGGUGGCCCAUGCUGUCAGGGCCACCCGAUGGAUAUGGAUUAUCAGAAGGCCCGGUCAGCGCUGGACGCUUUAACAGCGCGACCAGGCCUCCUGUAAUGAGAUCAGACAGCUGGGAGGAAGUGACUGCACAUCACUCCUCCCAGCUAACACACAGACCGCGCUGGAGGAAGCAGAGGAGGGAGUCAGAGUGGCAACUCUGACUCCCAUCCACCUGAACCACCACUGGUCCCCAGGAAAAGGCACCCUCCUGCACCAAAAAGGUAGGAAACAGGAGGGUGACUUAAACAUUUUGUGUGUGUUUGUAUGUAUGUGUCUAUCUGUGUGCCUGUCUGCCUGUAUGUAUGUGUGCCUGUUUGUUUGUAUGUAUGUCUUUGUAUGUGUGUUGUGUGUGUGUGUCUGUCUGUAUCUAUCUGUGUGUCUGUCUGUAUGUCUGUGUGUGUGUCAGUCUGUAUGUGUCUGCCUGUGUGUAUGUGUGCCUGUAUGUUUGUAUGUGUCUUUGUAUGUGUGUGUCUGUCUGUGUGCCCGUAUGUGUGUGUGUGUGUCUGUCUGUAUGUGUCUGUAUGUGUGCCUGUCUGUUUGUAUAAAAAGAUAUGGAAGGGCUGCGCCAAAUAAGGGUAGAUAGUCCAGUAAAGUAUUGCUAGGGUGCCAAUAGAUGGUCUAGGAUACUUGAUAGAGUUCCUCUGUGGAUGCGUCUGGUGUAGACCGUUCCGUAUAUGUAAAUACAAGAGAGGUAGAGGCGACUAAUGGUAUAGUAUGAAAGUUCAGGGUGUGAUAGGUAACAAAAAGUAAAGAACUCACAUUCAAGAGAGCUAUGGCCAGCUCUGGUGUGGAUUGCGUACAGCGGUAUAAUCCCCGCUUAUGGGAUAUGUAGGGAGGGGUCUCCGUCAACACCGUCUGGUAGUCCAGAACUCGGAAAAGAAAGACAGAAAGCAACAAUAGUGCUCUCAAUUUUGAUGUGGUUCAAUGUGCAGAUAAGAAGAGGUAAAAAACUCACAUUUGAGGGAGCUAUGGCCAGCUCUGGUGUGGAUAGCGUACAGCGGUAUAAUCCCCGCUUAUAGGAUAUGUAGCGGCGAUACGUCCGUCAGCACCGUCUGGUGAUCCAAGGCUCCAAUAUAGAAGAAUAAAAAGCAGCAAUAGUGCUCUCAAUUGUGAUAGGUUAAGAGAGUAGUAGAGAAAAUAAAAUAAUACUCACAAAGAUAGAGCAGAGGCACUGCUCUAUGGAUAGGCGCCGGUGGUAUGAUCCCCACCUAGGAUUUCUUGGAGUACUGGAACUUUAAAAUUGCCAAUGGAAGUAAAAGUAACCAGGAAAGGUUAAAAUGCCAGGAAUAGGUAAAAACAAAAGUUGUUUAAAGUGCAUAAAGAGUGCAAUAAAAAGAGGAUUGGUACAAUAAAGUAGCCAAAAAACUUUUAUUGAUCUAAAAUACACAGUAAAAUACAGAAUUAAUAACCAUAAACGCGUUUCACCAUAAGUGGCUUCUUCAGAAUGGGAUACAUAUCCCAUAAGCGGGGAUUAUACCGCUGUACGCAAUCCACACCAGAGCUGGCCAUAGCUCUCCUGAAUGUGAGUUCUUUACUUUUUGUUACCUAUCACACCCUGAACUUUCAUACUAUACCAUUAGUCGCCUCUACCUCUCUUGUAUUUACAUAUACGGAACGGUCUACACCAGACGCAUCCACAGAGGAACUCUAUCAAGUAUCCUAGACCAUCUAUUGGCACCCUAGCAAUACUUUACUGGACUAUCUACCCUUAUUUGGCGCAGCCCUUCCAUAUCUUUUUGUAUCUAUCCACCGAAGGACCCGAGGGGUUUUCCUUCAUUUGGGUUGCUGCCUACCUUGACUAAUUUUGUGAUUACUAGCGCUGAAUUCUUUUUGUGUUUAUCUCUGUCUGUUUGUAUGUAUGUGUCUGUGUGUGUGCCUGUCUGUAUGUACAUAUGUGUGCUUGUCUGUAUGUAUAUGUGUGUGUCUGUAUAUAUGUGUCUGUAUGUGUGUGUCUAUGUAUGUAAGUGUGUGUGUCUGUCGGGGGGGUGGCGGGGCAGUAUCACAAAACCUGGUAUCACAAAACCACUAGGCCUAGGUUCAUAUCCCAUAAAUGGAUAUCAUGUAGGAAUAUCCCAUAUAAGAAUCAGGGAGGGGUCUGCACAAAUGAUGUUGUAAACCAGGUAGAAAGUUACAGAUAAGGGAAAGAAAGAGCUAGGAAUAUGGAUGAACAGAACUACAAAAGGAAGAAGUAGAGAAAAUUAGAGAGCAAAGUGAAAGGUAAAAAAAAAAGCGUAGGGAAAGAGAAAAAAAUUGAGGAAGGGAGGGUUUGAAGGCGAGGAAAUGGGAACAAGCCUAGAGCGGCUAGAGUUGUAGGGAGCUACAUUCAGUCGCAGUCUUUUAGUAAGCCACAUGUGCAAAUCAUACCAGAGUGUCACCUCCUUAAGAAUUAUGAUUAUGGACAUCCAGAUAACUAGCAGCCUCCAUGGAGGAGAGAAACAACAGCCAAUAAAACCAUUUCUGUGUGUAACGCUCCCUAGCCCAAACUGUGGUUGCCGCAAGGUCCUCGUAUUGCCAAAAACUUUUAAGCAAGACAUAUAAAAAAAAAAGCAGCUGAGGCACUACCGAGCAUUUGUACUCUUGGAGAUGGAGGUGUGUGAUGUUACAGCAGUGCCACAGCUUUAAAAACUGGCAGGUCAUCAGACAACCUAUUAAGAAUAGAAUAGAGUGUCUUACAAAAUCCUUCAGCAAGAUUACAAAAACACUAAAUAGUAUUUAUUUAGAAAAUAUUUUACCAGGAAGGAUACAUUGAGAUUCCUCUUGUUUUCAAGUAUGUCCUGGGCAAUAUGAAGCAAAUCACUAACCACCUAAUCACAUCGCCAGCACAAAGGAAAGUAUGAUGGAUUACAAGCACGGAGAGCCACUUUCUGGUACCAUGUAGUGCAAAGUUUACAACAAACAGGUUAAAGAUCUUAGACCAACCAUCAUAAGUAAUGGUGACAUGCAGAUUCUUCUCCCACUUAUUAAGGCCUGGCAGAGCAAGUAUUGAAAUAUUUACCAAAAUUUUAUAGUCAAUCGAAAGACACCAAUCGAAAGACAGCAACAAAUGGUUUUGCCCCAUUUGGUACGGGGCCAUUUGGACUUCAGUGAAUAACCUUGUUACUGAAGGGAAGAGCAAUGUACAUGUUGAUGAAGUGGACAUCGGUUUAUUUAAGAAACCACAAGGGAGGACAAAACAAUAACCAAUAAAAGUAACUUUUAGACUAAAGACUUGGAUAGCAAUCUAUAACAGUAACACGUUUCAUUAAAUUACACUUGCCAUGGUACCAGAAUGUCUAAGCAGCACUAACUAAAUCAAAGUCAAAGUGUCAUGCUGUGCUGAUUAAAUUACAAUUACAAACAAAAAUAAACAAUUUCACAACCUAAAACACAAAUUUUAGAACACAGUAUUCCCAUAGUAUUAACAAAGUUCAUAGUCUCUAGGAAGGAGGCCGGCCUCCAAGCUACUCUGCAAGCUAUAUAGUCUCUGUUUAGUUGGUAUUAUAUGGGCAGCCAUUGAAAGAUGGGGAAAAAUCCAGAAGAUGGCUUGAUAGCAGAGCUCAAAGCUCCUCCUCCAAGCCCUGUCAGUCAGAGACACAGGAAUGAUGAACUGAUGUAGAAGGGAUUUGCAUGUGUUAUUCCAUGGCAGCGAGCACAAGUUCAAAGCCUGUCCCUGUCUGAGUAAUGAUUGGUUCUGUGUGUGGCUGUGGGUACCCAACUCCCAUCCUUAGUGAGACAGUGGCAAGCUAUCGGUUAGAAAAUGCUUUCUCCAGAGGAGCAGCACAUUCAAGUCCCUGCAUGUCAGCAUGCUCUGUGUGAAUUGAAAAUCAAAUUCGAAAACAUAAUCCAACAUAUAACUUUUAUUCAUCUAAUUUUAAGCUUGGCUAGAUUGACUUAAAUGUUUUAAACUGUGAUUGGGUAAGUAAACCAUUUUUAUGAACUUCAGAUAAUAAUAAUCUGAUGGAAAUGCAGAUUAACAACUAUACACACAGUAUGAAAUGUGAAACGCUCUCCCUUUUUUGUUUUUUUGCACGCCCUCUUCCCCCCCCCACACAGGUACAUUGACUUUUUUGUUUUUUUGUGUCCAUUCACUAUUACUUGGUCUGUAUAUUGUAUAUUGAACUGCUUCACUUUUUUUUACAAUAAACUUAUCUAGUUUCCUUAAUGAUUUUUUAUAUUUUCUCGUUUUGGGAACUAAAGAACCAGCAACAAAUGUCAAAGCACUAUCCCAAAGUUUAUUUCCUGAAAAGAAAUAUAAAAAAGCGUCAACAAUUAUAUAACACAACAGGUGUUAAAAAAUACGUUAGAAUUGUGCAAUGUAAUAAACCUCACAAUAAGGUGAUGUAAAAAAAAAAAUUGGAAUCCACAACAUCACCACUAAUUAAGGCAUUUCUAUUUUUAUUUUUUCAUUUAACUUGCAUCAUUUUGUUCCCCAAAUUCCGGUUGCAGAACUAUAUGUUUAUAGACACUCCAUAUUCUCUCCAUAUACUAAGGAAACCUUGCAGGAUAUGCUUUCGAUUUUAGUACAGCAAAGUAGCAAACUUGCCAGAAUUACCAACCACAUUGAUAGAAAUGUUAUGAAAAGCACUAUUCUUUAUUUGCUCCUCUGUCACUUUAGUCCUUGCAGAUCUAAAAGCCAUUCACAUAUUUACGUAUUGGCUGAAUGGAUGCUGGGUGGAGAGGGAGCAGAAACCCAGUGCAUUAACAUAUAAUGCUUUUUUUAGAUUUUGUUUUUAUCACCACUUACGCUUAUGGGUAAACUCUCCUGUGCUUCUGCCUCCCCCUAGUGACCAUCCCACCAUUGGUUCUUUUCCUUUUGCACUUCCACAGGUACAAGGGAACAGGAAACCAAGAUUAACCUGAGUAGGGUCCUCAUCAACCUAUUGUUCCUGUAACAUUUUAUAAUUGUCUUGUUUAUUGUUAAAUUUACCCCUCUAUAAUAUUGUAAAGUGCUGCGGAAUAAGGUGGCGCUAUUUAAAUACCAAUGGUAAUAAUAAUGCAUUCAGUGAAAUCCAAAUGAUGAGCCAGGAAGUAGAAACAAUGCUGUGGACAUUGGGUGACAGGAUGUGAGCUUACAUCACAACACACAGUACAUGUUAGAGGAGAAAGAUGAGGGGGCAGUGGGGACUCACAAGUGUUAUGUUUACUCACUUUUUUCUCCAGCUGCAAGUCCUCUCUCACUGCUGCUCUAUUGAUAGUUUUUUGCAUUUUUCACACACAACAAAUAUGAACGCUAAAUUUGGCUAAUAAAAAAAGACUGGACAUACCCCAUUUGCAAUACCUUGGGUUGUCUACUUUUGCAAAUGGUAUGCCAUCAUGAGGGUAAUUCGCAUUCCUGGGCUACCAUUUGGUCUCAUAGGCAACAUAACCAAUCUGGUGAAUUUCAAUGUGAAAAAAACUGAAAAAUGUAACAUGCUAUAUUUCACCCUGUAACUUCCAAAAACACCAUAAAACCUGUACAUUGUGGGUACUGUUUUACUUGUGAGACAUCGCUGAAUACAUAUGUGCACUUUAUUGCUGUAACAGCUGACAGUAUUGUGACAUUCACAGUUAAAAUGCCAUGCAGAAUUUAAAAAAAAUAAAAAAAUUCUUAAUUUCUCAAUUUUUUAAAUUUUUUUAUAAUUCUUUAUUUUAUUUGUCCUCAGAUUGUGCAAGGCCACAAUAGCCGUUACAAGCAUAGUAUUAACAUUCCAAAUUGUGGCAGAGUAGACAGCACAUUUUUAUAUAUGAGGUAUGGGAAUAACAAGCUAUAAGUCAAUUUGUUUUUAUAUUUUAUUCAUAUUAAAUUAUGUUUCAUAUACAAAUAUGUAAUGUUAAAUAAAAGCCCCCUUUCUCCUGAACAAAAUUAUAUAUAAGUGUGGGUGCACAUAAUAUGAAAGAGGUGAAUUACGCCUGAACAGACAUAUAGCGCAAAUUCAAUGUUUUAUUUACGUUUUGUUUUGAUCACAACUUGUACAACUGUCUCAGUCCAAAAGGGGUUAAUACAUUAACAGUGCUAGAACAAUAAAUAAAUACAAAUUAAAGGGACAGUAUAGUCACCUGAACAACUUUAGCUUAAUGAAGCAGUUUUGGUGUAUAGAACGUGCCCCUGCAGCCUCACUGCUCAAUCCUCUGCCAUUUAGGAGUUAAAUCCCUUUGUUUAUGAACCCUAGUCACACCUGUGACUUGCACAGACUUCCAUAAACACUUCCUGUAAAGAGAGCCCUAUUUAGGCUUUCUUUAUUGCAGUUCUGUUUAAUUAAGAUUUUCUUAUACCCUGUUGGGUCAAUAGCUUGCUAGACCCUGCAAGAGCCUCCUGCAUGUGAUUAAAGUUCAAUUUAUAGAUUGAGAUACAAUUAUUUAAGGUAAAUUACAUCUGUUUGACAGUGAAACCAGUUUUUCUUUUCAUGCAGACUCUGUCAAUCAUAGCCAGGGGAGGUGUGGCUAGGGCUGCAUAAACAGAAACAAAGUGAUUUAACUCCUAAAUGACAGUGAAUUGAGCAGUGAAAUUGCAGGGGAAUGAUCUAUACACUAAAACUGCUUUAUUUAGCUAAAGUAAUUUAGGUGACUAUAGUGUUCCUUUAAAAUAUGCUACUACUGUACGUUUCAAUAACCUUAAAUUAGUGGGAUUUGUCUGGAUAUAACUAAAAGGCACUGAUUACACAUGUGUAUGUCUUGUUGCAACUACUUGUUUGUCUAUUGUACAGUGCUGUGGAAUAUGUUGGGGCUUUUAAAAUCAUAAUAAUAAUAUUUAUGUGCUCAUAUGAAAGUGUCUAUUAGAUAUGUUUGUGAGUGUUGGUAAUUAAGUUAUAUAAUGACACAACUAAUAUGGUUUGUGAGAAUUAUUUCAGUAAAUAUGUAAAUGUUGUAAAUUAGGCAUAUGUGAAUAAUGAAAUCAUUGUGUGAAGGUAUAAUCUGAAAACAUUUUUAGGGAGUCUGUGUCCAGACCAUGUAUAGUCAUGUGGGAAUAUCAUGGAACUACUGUAAUCCAGGGGCAUACCUAGUGCAUUUGGCACCCGGGGCGGAUCCUGUGCUUGGCACCCCCUCGCCCCCCCCCCAAAAAAAAACCUGUAAUUUUUUUUAAAGUUGUCUUUUUUUUACAAUUUGUAAACUUCGCAAAACCGCUGUCAACCCCUCCUACAAAACCCUUGUCCUUCCCUGCCCCCUCCUUUAAAACCCCUGUCCUGCCCACUUCUACAAAUCCUGUACUGCCCCAUCUACAAAACCCCCGCAGCCCCCUUCCACAAAUCCCCUGUUUAUCCCCCCUUAUAAAGACUCCUGUCCCAAUACAAAACCCCUGCCCCCUUUUACAAAAUCCCUGCAGACCCACACACACAUUUAUAGGCAGACAGUCACACACACAGUUACAGGCAUACAGUCACACACAGUUAUAGGCAGUCACACGCACAUAGUCACAUGCAGACAGUCAUGCACACAGUUACAGGCAGACAGUCACAUAUACAUUGACACACACACGGCAGCAGCAGACAGUCACAUGCACACACUCACAGACAGAUAAUAACACACACACGGUUACAGGCAACAUCAAACAGUCACAGGCAGACAGUCACACAUACAUAGUCACAUGCAGUCACACAUACAGUUAUAGGCAGACAGUUACACACACAGUCAGUUACAUGUAGUCACACACAGUCAUAGCCAGACAGUCACGCACACAGUUACAGACAGUCACAUAUACAGUCACUCACACACACAGGCAGAUAGUUGCACACACACUUACAGGCAGACACACACAGUUACAGACAGUUUUAUACACACACACACACACACACUGUCACAGCCACACACUAUUACUUACAGACAGUGGGCUGGAGGAGGACUGGAUUCCCUGAAGCCUGGGGAGAGGCAGGGAUUCCUUCUUGUUGCAUCUCCAUGUGCAGCAGUAACAGCAGCGGGUAAGGGCCAUAUUAACCCUGCUGUCAGUUUGGCUCUGCCCCUGAUUUUGCCUAGCACCGCCCUCACUUUACCUCCCUAACUGCCAUGGGGCACUGUGUGCCCUUACAGCUCACACAGCCCCCUCCAGUUCCCAGACCAGGGUCAUGGCACCCCCCACCCUAGUGGCACCCGGGGCAGACUGCCCCCUCCGCCCCCCCCUUAGUACGCCACUGCUGUAAUCAAUACUAUUCUCAUUUAGUUUUUUCCUUUUGCUCUUACAAUAUGCUUCCUUUAGCCACACUGAGCUAAGCCGUGCCAUGCAGACCUGGCUCAUUGGCGAAGAACUUCUGCAUCAUGGAGCUUCCAGGCUGCAGAGAUGGCAGCGACCAGAACCUUUAGAACCCCAGGUAAGCGGUCACCUGCUUUUGAGUGCUUACACUGGGAGGGCACCAAGAGACCCCUGGCACCAUAACCACUACAGUUGGAAUUACUAGUUAUAAUGCAUGAGAUGUUCAUAAAAGAUUGCCUACAUGUAACAUGGAGCAUGCAGCAUCCUACCUUAAAGGAGCACUAGAGUGCCAAGAAAACAAACUCAUUUUCCUGGCACUAUAGGGUUAUUAGGUCCCCCCCUCCCACAGGGCCCUCAUCCCGCUGGGCUGAAGGGGUUCAGCCACUUACCUUAAUCCAGCGCUAGGCUCCCUCGGCACUGGUGAACUCUCAUUCCCCUGCCGACGUCAGCUCCGAAUGCGCAUUCGCGGCCAGAGCCACACGCAUGAAUUCAAACAGCUCAUAGGAAAGCAUUACUCAAUGCUUUCCUAUAGUUGUCCAGGGUGUCCUCAAUGUGAUUUUCGCAUUAAGGAUCGCAGAAGCGGCCGCUAGUGGCUGUCAGGAAGACAGCCACUAGAGGCUGGAAUACCCCUCAAUGUAAACAUAGCAGUUUCUCUGAAACUGCUAUGUCUACCGCUGCAGGGUUAAAACUAGGGGGACCUGGCACCCAGCCCACUUCAUUGAGCUGAGGUGGUCUGGGUGCCAAUAGUGGUCCUUUAAGUAUGUAUUAGAAUUUCUUUUUUCAUAUUUCUCUCAAUUUUCUCAUAUACGAAGACAUACACACAAAAUAAUAAUUGCAAGUGACCUUUUAUAUCCUAUAUAACAGUAACUUCUAUACUUAUUCCCUUUUUCUUUUCUUUCCCAUCUUUUUCUCUAUUUUCCCCUCCUUCCUUUUUCUUUUCCUUUCAAGUAUUUAUUUUGAAUUAAGAAGACUGUUAGAACAAUGGCAUGCACAUGAUCAGGAACAGUUUGGUAGUAAUAGGUCAUAUGUAUGCCAAUAACUCUUUCCCUGUCCUCUUUAACAACCACAACGCAGCUUUUUAUUAUUAACACAUGGCAGGAUGGAAUAACUAAUUCCUCCUUUUUACACCAAAUACUAACCAUUACAUCUACAUGUUGCAGAAGGAAGAAUGAUUUGUCACAUUAGGCAGCAUUUUUUCACUGUGAACUUAUCCUGAUUUUUAUGACCAAUACAUAUUGUAUCCUAUUCUUAGCUUUUUUGCGUUAGACCCAGUUUGGUCUUCUGUUUUGCUCAACUACUCCAAGGAGGAUCAUUUGUCUUUUAAUCUACACAAUUUAAUGCUUUGUAGAACAACAUAAAAUGAAUGCCUUGACCAUGUCUUCAUGCUUUACAUGUGGAACUUGAUUGGCUACUUGCUUUAUUAUAUCAAUGUAAUUUAUAAAGUGGCCAAUGAGAGUCUAAUCUUUGACAUAUUUAGCAUGCUUUGAAGAAAAUGAAGGCACUGUUUCUGAAGUACGAUUCACCAAUUUGUUAUUUUAUAUAGAGGAAUUGUUCACUGACUUAAAAAAAUUGAAAAUUUAAUCAAAACAUUUUAGUCUGCCUCACUUUGUAUAUUUGGCUCAUCUACAUCAAGUGGUUGUCAGAGCAAAGGCGAACAUGAUUAAACACACAUUGCUCUCAACAAGUAUGAAUUAGUCUUCAUUUGUUGUGAAAGAAAAAUAUGAAAUCUGCCUUUGCUUUCUGAAAGAAAAAUAUCUUAUAUCAAGUGUAGUGAUUUUAAAUAUUUUAAUCCAAAUCUCUUGCUGUUAUUUCCUUUAACCCCUUAAGGAUCAAAUUUCUGGAAUAAAAGGGAAUCAUGACAUGUCACACAUGUCAUGUGUCCUUAAGGGGUUAAUGUAUGUCAUAUAUAAAAAACUGUUCAAGAAUUUUCCAAACAAAGAGAUCUGGCGUAAGAUGGCAUUUUCUCUAAUGAUUCCCUUCCCUGGAGGAUAAGCUAUCCAGGGAGAAUAUUUAGAAAUAAAUAACAAAUACAAUCCUAGAGUAAAGACAGACCUUUUUUUUUCUCUAUUGAUCUGUCAUGACCAUUCCAUGUCUGUGUCCAGGUGUGCGACAGAUGUAUGCUAUCAUAAGUUGCAUGAAUUUAAACAAUGGCUCUUCAUUGGAACAUGUGCUCAAACCUCUUGCUACUCCCAACUGAUGUUCUCAAUUUUGCAGAUUACCUUGAUCUGUGAAUCGUACCUGAGGUCUCUGAUUGAUAUUCUUCUGAAACUGCAUCUGGAACCUCUACUGCUGCCAUGUUUGACCUGGAUUCAUUCUCUUCCUCUUUGUUAUCCAGUUCACAGACUAGUGAUCUCCUAGCUGUCUCGUCACUUUGGAAUCUGGC